rnacentral:rRNA from 1 species
GUGGGGAAUCUUCCGCAAUGGACGAAAGUCUGACGGAGCGACGCCGCGUGAGUGAAGAAGGCCUUCGGGUCGUAAAGCUCUGUCAUCGGGGACGAAUGGUCGAUGGAGUGGAAAGCCAUUGAAAUGACGGUACCCGAGAAGGAAGCCACGGCUAACUACGUGCCAGCAGCCGCGGUAAUACGUAGGUGGCAAGCGUUGUCCGGAAUUAUUCGGCGUAAAGCGCGCGCAGGUGGGACCUUAAGUCUAUUUUGAAAGUUCGGAGCUUAACUCCGUGAUGGGAUAGAAACUGGGAGUCUUGAGUACCGGAGAGGAAAGCGGAAUUCCCCGUGUAGCGGUGAAAUGCGUAGAUAUGGGGAGGAACACCAGUGGCGAAGGCGGCUUUCUGGACGGUGUCUGACACUGAGGCGCGAAAGCCAGGGGAGCGAACGGGAUUAGAUACCCCAGUAGUCC